AGGAGUUGUAUGUUCCAAUGCUGUGAGUAUGUCUGUGAUAUAAAAAGGAAAGGGGCUCUGGGAGUUGGGCCCAUGAUGUAAAUGUUACCCAACAGCUUCCACCCCUUCAAGGCCAGCCAGCCAGCACCAUGUCCUACUUUUACAUCACUGCCUUUCUCCCUGGAAUCUAUGGCUUCAGAGGGUCUCAUCAGAUGAUAUCCUACUGGCUUAAAUGGGAUCUCCAAACAGUUACGUGCAAUGAGUUGGCCAUUGGAAAUGUUACUGCCUGAAUGGAGGGGACAGAGCAGGAAUGAGACCGAUAUCCUGUCCAGGAUGAAAGCAUCCCCUGAUUGUGCCUAAUACUCAGGAAAAAGACUUCCCUCAUGCUUGGAGAUCUGCUAAAGGACUCAGGAUACCCCCAAGCCUCAAACUCCAGUUAUUUUCACAUUGCUUAUUUGUCUUAUGGCCUCCAUAGAUAAAUGGAAUGAAACCUCAGUUAACAAAAAUAGAAAAUGUCUAAAAUAUCAAUUAACUACAACUCAGAUAUAGGAUGCUCAACCAACCGGAAUUCUUUUGUGAGAUGAGGAAGAAGGGAAGAGCAGACGCCUUUCUAUUUGAGAUGAAAGAAAUCCAAACCACAAAUUUUAAAAAUGCUGGUGGGAAAGACUUAGUCAAGAAAAUAAUUUCCAAGAGCUGUCCCUAGCACAUUCUAAAUUCAUCCCAAUUCCCUACAUCUUAGACAAGAAGCAAUUAAUUAAGAGUGGAUAUUCAGGACAAUAUCCUUGAGGCCCUACAAAACCCUCAGUCAGGAAAGGAUUCCCAUUAAGUCGCCCACACACCUCUGAAUGAGGCAGGAAAAGGAGGGGACUCUAGUACUUUAGAAAGUGUUUCAGCUACAGAGGUUGAUACUCAAAAGGGGAUUAUGGCUAACUCUUGUUGCUCUGAAGCUCAACUAACCAGAAACUCUCUGCCUGUUUUAAGGGCAGUCCUCCAGUGAACAUUUGUUAAGCACCUCACUUAGAGAUUCCAGUGUGAUCCUUUGGCCCCUCGGUGUGAGUCUUUGCUUUUUAACGAACACUAUUUUUGAGCCACUUUUCCCAUCCAUUAAACCUUUUCAUAGUCGUUCCCAGCCCCCUUUCCAGUCCACCAGCUAAACCCCCAAGGCAGAGUUAACUACGGAAAGCCUUCCCCCUUUCUAUUGUUCUCUUCCUUCAUCCUUCCUGCUUCCUUUCUCAUUUUUCUCUUUGCUUCCUCUUUUCCUCUUUCCUUUCUUUCUUUCCCCUCAUUCCAAACUUGCCUUUGUUCCUCUUCCUCUCCUUUUCACUUCUUUCCCACUCCAUCUUUCUUUCCUCUUCUUUCCUCCUGUGGCCAUUCUUCCACUUUCUUUUAUCUCCCUCUGCCCCGAUUUCCUGGCCCCGGUCCCCUCUCUGAUCACAUUAUAAAGUGAAGAAGCGUUGGAAAGAAAGGACUGCUGAAGAGAAGGGAUUCUCAGUCCUGGGGCGUUCCAGGACGGUCUCACUGAACGAUACCCCAGUUCUUUGGAAUAGCACAGUGUCAGAAUAGAAAAUCCGACUUUCCCCUCUCUUCGCUCCCCCGGAAGAUUGAUUAAGCAGUCCACUGCAAUCGGAAAUUAACUCAAGCGAUGUCUUCUCCCCUCCCUCAGCCUAAGAUACCUCGAUUUUCUAACAGAACCGACCCUUGGACACCCCAACCCUUGCACCGAAAGAUUCAUGAUUCGGAAACGCCUCUCAGAGGAAUCCCUGCGCCCUUCUCUCUGCAAAAGCUUCCAGACAAGGCUCUGGCCGCGUCCCUGCCCUCGGGGCAAUGCAGACAGGCUCUUCUCCCCAUUUCUCCUGGAAGCCCGGCAGAGUUACCCGAGCAGGUUGUGACAACAUUCUGUGGAGUGGAAUAAAAAUACUACCGCUAUAUUUAGCCAUUGCAGGUGCUUUCACAUCUAUUAAGUGAUCCUCGUGACACUCCUGUGAAGUCGGUAUUUUUACUCCUUUUGAGAGAUGGUACAAUCGAGGGGGGGCUGGACAGGUUUAAGUGAUUGGUUCCGAGACCACCCCCCAAGGGAGCUCCGACGCAAGCUUCUGUCUCCAGGCGGCGGCAGGAAGGACCUUUCUUUGCCAGACUUUCACUAGGAUACCUGGAUUUUUUAAAUGACUGCAGAGAAGAGGGAGGCUUUUCCCCCCGGUUUGAUUUCUUGCUUUAGCACAGUAUGUCCAGGGCUUUAUCUCCUGGUACACGGGGGACUGGAGAGGAAUCCAGCGCCAGAUGGGAUGGGCUGCUAGCUUGUACGCCGUGGCGGAGAGCAGUCAGCUCUGCCAACCCGAUCCAAAAGGCACAUCUGAGGCUUGGGUGGGAGCCGGUUAGGAGCCUGGGGGUGCAGAUUGUGGGCUCGGGGGCGCAUGUCACGUGCAAGAAAUUGAGGUGAUUCUUUGGGUGAGCUGUCCAAUGGCGAACCAGUCAUCGGUGGUCAGCUUUGGAAAUCUUCAGGGAGAAUUUCUCUCCUCAAAGUGAUCAGCAGUGGAUUGGAAGAGUGACGGGACCUCUCACCCAGGCUCGGGUGGGUUCGUAGCGCCCGCUCCUGCUUCCCUUGUGAUAGUCCCACUUUCAGGAAGGAACUUGGCGGCCAAGAGGGCCCCGAGUCCCCCUCUUACAUUCGCUUUGCCCCCAGCCUGGCUCCCCCUCCAAGGACUGAAUCGAGAGACCUGCCCUUGAGAACGGUGCUGGGAGCACGUGAUUUGUUUUGUACAUAUUGAAAUAUGUUUUAACUUAUUUUUAACUGCCCCAACUCCCCUCACACGAUGAUUUUCUGCUUCUUCAUCUGCCUUUGGGAUUUUUUUUAAAGCUCUCUCUUUUCCGUCACCAAGACUUCUUCGGGUGCCCGUGAGGCAGAGCGAACCGGCAGCUGCUAAUGACCGCCCUCGAGUUUUCAGUUCAUACUGUUGGCUUUUGAUUGAAGCACUCUUGUACUUCCUUUCAUUUCAGCAUCGUCUUGGAAACGUAAGGGAAAAUCCAACAGGGAAGGGGAGUCCCCCUCACAGUUCAGUUCCUCUUUCUGAUGACUUUAUCUGCCAGGAACUCGUGGGAAGAGGGGGUUGCUGAGGGCGCAAACUCAAAAAUCCAGUAAGUUAAAAAAAUCAGUCCCUGGCCCAACCUCAGUCUAGACCCAGCAGAUCCAACUGCUCCCCUGGAGCUAAGAAAAAGGAAAGCCAGGGUUUUCUGAGCAACGAGACUGUGACAUUUUCAGUUUAACUUGAGCCCAGUAACAUUUAAAGCUUUUAUUUAUUUAUAGCUUCUUAACAAAAAAAUAAAAAAGAAAGAAAGAAAAAGUUGUGUUCA
ensembl:lncRNA